GGGAGAUUAGCUCAGUUGGUUUAGAGCACUACCUCGACAAGGUAGGGGUCGCUGGUUCGAGCCCAGUAUCUCCCA
rnacentral:tRNA from 2 species